rnacentral:tRNA from 1 species
GCGGAUGUGGCGCAGUUGGUAGCGCAUAACCUUGCCAAGGUUAGGGUCGCGAGUUCGAGUCUCGUCAUCCGCUCCA